rnacentral:rRNA from 1 species
UACGGGGGGGGCAAGCGUUGUUCGGAAUCACUGGGCGUAAAGGGUGCGUAGGUGGGUUGGUAAGUCAGUGGUGAAAUCUCCAGGCUCAACUUGGAAACUGCCAUUGAUACUAUUAAUCUUGAAUACCGUGGAGGUCAGCGGAAUAUGUCAUGUAGCGGUGAAAUGCUUAGAUAUGACAUAGAACACCAAUUGCGAAGGCAGCUGGCUACACGAAUAUUGACACUGAUGCACGAAAGCGUGGGGAUCAAACAGG